CCUACGGGGGGCAGCAGUGAGGAAUAUUGGUCAAUGGGCGCGAGCCUGAACCAGCCAAGUAGCGUGAAGGAUGACUGCCCUACGGGUUGUAAACUUCUUUUAUAAAGGAAUAAAGUGAGGCACGUGUGCCUUUUUGUAUGUACUUUAUGAAUAAGGAUCGGCUAACUCCGUGCCAGCAGCCGCGGUAAUACGGAGGAUCCGAGCGUUAUCCGGAUUUAUUGGGUUUAAAGGGAGCGUAGAUGGGUUGUUAAGUCAGUUGUGAAAGUCUGCGGCUCAACCGGAAAAGUGCAAUUGAUACUGGCAGGCUUGAGUACAGUUGAGGUAGGCGGAAUGCGUGGUGUAGCGGUGAAAUGCUUAGAUAUCACGAAGAACACCGAUUGCGAAGGCAGCCUACUAAACGGCCACUGACAUUGAUGCUCGAAAGUGUGGGUAUCAAACAGGAUUAGAUACCCGGGUAGUC
rnacentral:rRNA from 1 species